UACGUAGGGUCCGAGCGUUGUCCGGAAUUACUGGGCGUAAAGAGCUCGUAGGUGGUUUGUCGCGUUGUUCGUGAAAACUCACAGCUUAACUGUGGGCGUGCGGGCGAUACGGGCAGACUGGAGUACUGCAGGGGAGACUGGAAUUCCUGGUGUAGCGGUGGAAUGCGCAGAUAUCAGGAGGAACACCGGUGGCGAAGGCGGGUCUCUGGGCAGUAACUGACGCUGAGGAGCGAAAUCGUGGGGAGCGAACAGG
rnacentral:rRNA from 1 species